rnacentral:lncRNA from 1 species
GUGGAAUUAAUACUUUUACUUGUAGAAAAAUCAAUUUCCUACUUAUAUUCUCGGAAGACUGAAUUAUAUCAUGUCGUCACUAUUCCAUCUUUGUCUAAUGUUACGAAAAAAUUUAGAAAAGUAAUUUAUUUAAGAGAAGAAAUCCUCAUUUUACAAAUUUAUUUUUAAUUUUGGAAAAUAAAUAGUAAUUAGUUAAUUUUUAACUUUUUUUUAUCGAUAAUAAUGAUAUUACGAUCUGAUUCAUUAAACACAUGGACUGAAAGAUCUCUGAUUUCUCAUGGAAUUGGAUUGGAUCAUUUCCAAAUCUCCAUCAUAUUAUUAAUAUAAAGAACAAUAUAAGUAGAUUGGGUUUAAAAGCCAUUGGACCUAGGUCUUACAUGGCCCAGCUUGUUGCAAGAAAUUUGGGCAAGAUGUCAGAAAUCAUUAAAUUUUCAGUUAGCCCAAUCUCAUUCAAACUGCACCCAGUCUAAAGUAGCCCUGACAACAACAACAACAACAACAACAUUCGUUCAAAGAAGAAAAUUGUAGCUGCUAUAGAUUAUUUUUUUUUCAGAAUGAACUAUGAAGUCCUGUACUCCUGUUUACCCACUUUUUCUUUUCUCUUUUUUUUUUCUUUUUAUUAUUUUGAUUAUUUUUUUUAUUAAGUUCAACUGAAAUCUUAACAUUCCUGAAUGGAUUCCAAGACCUCUUAGACUCAAAACCUUAUGAGAAGUUGUUUUACCAUUGUGCCAAGAGGGACUUGAUAUUAUUAUUUUGAUUUUGGUGACGACUUAGCCCUCAGAUCGGAUUGGAUCUUCAGCCACGGGUUCAUGUUCGUUCAAGUGUGCACAAACGCUUUCACGAUAUGAAACGGCACGGGCCACUGUGGAACGCCUUGGGUGUGGGAAUUAAUGAAUAGGAUAAAGAGAUAAGUAAUCAAUUUGAGUUUUACUUCCAAGUGUAAAAAGUAUCUAACCUCUUUUUAUUUCUUUUGAUCUAUAUUUAUAGUCUCAUAUAUUUUGUCUUACUUGAGGCGUCCCAUCAGAUAUCAAGGUAUGGGCAUGACAAGUCUUGCAAACAGUGUCAAUCACCUGAUUUUCACACCGCUCAAGAUACGAUUAUAUGUGACCCUUUGACUUUAAAUUGGACAAACUCUCCAAAUUUUCCGGACACGUUUCCCUCUCACCGUUGUUGUGGCAAACAAACGGUUGCUUAGCCAAUCUGUUUGUUGAAUUUUCCUAAAGAUACUUCAACAUGAAUACAUGUACUUGUGCAUGAUCUUUACAAAAAGUAUCUUCCACUCUAAUAUAUGCUUAAUUUUCUAAAAAUUAUAACUCAUAUUAAUUCUAAGACAAAAAUAAAGCACAAUCUUGUUAAUAAAGAGAAUACUAUAUAUUACUGUAUUAAAUAUUUACACGGAAUUUUACUCAAAUAUUAGGCAUCAGGGUCAGGUUGGAAAUAUAUACUACAACAUUCUUAUUAAUAGGUCUAAUUUUAUUACAUUUGUUCUUUUCACGGGAUAUGUUGUUUCGUUUCUAGUGUUGAAAUCCUUUAUUUUCUUUUUUUUUUUGUCUAAAAUUGGGCUUAUUAUAGAUAUUUUCUGAAGCUUGUCAAAAUUUAGUGUUCUAUCGUUUAAAAAAAGAAUUAUGUUUACAUUAAGAUAUAGUUUUUACUUUUUUAUUUAUUUAAUAUUAAGCUUUAACAUCUCAUAUUUAUUAAUGAGAAAAACUUGUUGAAAAAAAAUAAUUUAGUGUUCUGUGCAAAAGCUAACAUUUUUGCUAUCAAAUGGUUCUGCCUUCUUAAUUAGAAUUAAAAUCUAGCAGGACCAUGGAUCUACAUAAAGUCAUAAACAUAUUUGUAAAACGACGAUAUAUUUAAUUUGCUAUCAAAUAGCUGUACGUUCUGAUUUAAUUCGUGUGGUUAUGAAUAUUAUUUUUCUCUUUUAUGUCAUAUUAUUAGGAAAAUGAUUUAUACGCGGUUAAAUUUAUGACAAAAAUAAAUUACGGAUAAUAUAAAACUCUAAGCAAUAAGAUCGAUUGAAUAAAUUAUAGUGGGGUCUAUAUAUAUUUACUAUUAACAUAAAUUUAUGGUCAUAUAUAGCAAAACUCUAUUAUCAAACUCACUAUCACUCACUUGAGACCGCUUGAAGUUAAUCUUUAUGUUUCAUAAAAAGAGUUUAAAAUUUUUUUAAUUUUUUUUCUUUUUAAUAUAAAAUGACACAAUGUGUGACACCCAAAAUAAAUACACAACCCAUUUUAAAUAGUCAAAUACAUAUUACAAAAUUUAAAUACAAACUCACUGCUAAUAGGACACGGGAAAAUAAAAAGGGAUGGGCCUGCGGCCGAAUAUCCUUAUUCCUUUGUUCCACCCUCGCUUAAUAUUCAAUAUUUUGACAAAGAAUAGUGAAGUAGUGAUAAAUUUAUUUAUAAGAGAAACAAACUAUUCAAAAUUUAUAUUCAGAAUAUCAAAAAUUAUACAGGGUCCAUUAGUUAGAUGCAGGAAAGUAAAGUGAUUAUAACAACUAGAAAUGAGGGACUCCUAAAGGCAGAAAAUACUCAAAAAAAUGAUCCUAUUUUCAAUUGAAGAACAAACAACCUAAAAACAAAACCUCAAUCAGAUCAAACAAAAAGUAACCACAUUCAACCAAAUCAAUAACAAAAAAAAAAAAAACUUGAAUCAAACAAUCUCUCACAACUCACACGUUGACAUUCAAAACAAAAAAUUAUACAAAAAAUACAUCUAAGAUUUCACCAAACUUUAAAAUAAGAAGAUUUUUAUAUUUGUAUUUAGAAUUAAUUGAUUUAUGAAAAAAAUUACCUCCUCCAAAUUUAACUCUUUCAUUAAUCUGUCUCUUUAAAUUUAUUAAUUUACAUAUAUGUCCUACCCCUAUACCUAUAUAAAAAAAAUUUAACAGGGACAGCUGCCUAUGCUGCCCCCAAUACAGAUUCGCCCCCGCUCUUAGCUAACGUCAGUUGUGGAACAAGAGCCUUAUAAUAUAUACAUAUAUAUAUAUAUAUAUAUGUAUUAUUACUACUUAUUAAAUACUUCCCCCGUCCUUAAUUAUUUGACGUUUUAGAGUUUUUCAUUUGUCCCUAAUUAUUUGACGUUUGUUCAAAUCUAAGAGAAUUAAUGACAAUUUUUCUAAAAUUACCCCUCAUUAAACUUUUUUUCUCUCCUUAUUUCAACAAAACUCUUCUUAUCCCAACAAAAGAUUUAAGGGUAUUAUAGACAAUUGAAUAUUAUAUUUAAUGUUUUCCAAUCAUUAUCUUAAUUCUUGUGCCCACCUCUAAAACGUCAAAUAAUUAGGGACAGAGAGAGUACUUUGUGAGGCCUUCCUCCUGAAAAUUAAUAGGGGAAUAGCUUAACUGAUAUAAAAAUAUUGCUCUCCAUAAUCAAGAUUAUCACACUUUUAUUUCUAACAAGAACAUUAUCAAGAUUAUCACAGUUCGAUGUAUGUAAUUCUAUAUGCUAGAAAGAUUGUAAUUAAUUAGACCAAUUAAACCAACACAUCUACUAUUUUUUCCCCUUUGUCUGUCUUUAAUUCUUUCUAGGGAAUUCUUCUAAUACAAAAACUUUAAUACUGAAAAUAUCUACAAAGUGCUUUUCGAUUAAUCUCCUAAAGACCCAGAUAUAUACUCGUAUGUAAAUAUCACUACAAAUAUAUAUAUAUAUGUGGGGAAUAGAAGGAAAACUGACCUUGAUGGAAUUAAGUUGUACGUAUAAUUUUGAAGACACUGAUGGAAACUUCCAAAGGGAUGGCAUGAUCCAGUGAACGAUGGAUGAAGGCAAUUUAUUGCAUGAAAAAAAUUAAAGGAGGCAGCCAAGUAGCUAUAGCUAGCUCAUGCGUACGUACUCGGUACUCCAUCGAUCAUUAAAAAUUCAAUUCUCGGACUUUCCACCUGCACCAGAUCAAUAUCUAUCCAUCUAUCAAAUUAAGUACUCCACUGAUCACAACGUAUCGGCCGGCCCGGCCCCUAUAUAUAUAAACCUUAAUUAAAAGUUUAAUUAUAUAUAUAUCCCAGCUAGCUAGCUAGCUAUUUGAUCAACAUACAGGACUACAGGAGGAGUACUGAAGGAUAUAGCUAGGGAUUGAAAAGAAAAGGUGUUCAAGGUUGUUGUUUUCCAUACAGUUUUAAGCCCUUUAAAUCCCUUUAUUUUAUCUUCAUGCCUGUGGUGUGAUAAAUCCAAGGUAGUU